rnacentral:rRNA from 1 species
AUUGAACGCUGGCGGCAGGCCUAACACAUGCAAGUCGAGCGGAUGAAGGGAGCUUGCUCCUGGAUUCAGCGGCGGACGGGUGAGUAAUGCCUAGGAAUCUGCCUGGUAGUGGCGGAUAACGUCCGGAAACGGGCGCUAAUACCGCAUACGUCCUGAGGGAGAAAGUGGGGGAUCUUCGGACCUCACGCUAUCAGAUGAGCCUAGGUCGGAUUAGCUAGUUGGUGGGGUAAAGGCCUACCAAGGCGACGAUCCGUAACUGGUCUGAGAGGAUGAUCAGUCACACUGGAACUGAGACACGGUCCAGACUCCUACGGGAGGCAGCAGUGGGGAAUAUUGGACAAUGGGCGAAAGCCUGAUCCAGCCAUGCCGCGUGUGUGAAGAAGGUCUUCGGAUUGUAAAGCACUUUAAGUUGGGAGGAAGGGCAGUAAGUUAAUACCUUGCUGUUUUGACGUUACCAACAGAAUAAGCACCGGCUAACCUCGUG